GAAAAGGAGUGGAUGCCCACGUGGCUGGCUGAGGCUCCUGGGCCCGCCGCCUCCGUCCCCCCGCUGGCCUGUCCCCGACUCAUCACUGGAUCGCCUCCACAUAAUUUGCCGGGUAUAGGCCAACUUGCCCGUUGUCCAAGCGUCCCUUGCACCAGCCCUGCUCAUCCUCGUCCUCCAUCUUGGUCAGCUCAUCCCCUGCAAGACAAAGAGGGAGCCGUCUCCAUGAGAGCACCUGGCUGAUGACUUGUGCACGGUGCCAUGUGUCAACCCUUCCUGAGACCCUGAGAAGGAGCCCCUGGCGCUGUUCUGGAAUCUCCCUGUGGCUCUAAUGUAUUAACGUGGUUCCAUUUAUCUUUGGUUGUUCCAACCUGAAGGACCUCCUACUUCUGGCCAGGCCUUGGGUAGAAGAGGAGAUACAGAGAUGAGAGGAACUGAUGGAUCCUGGUCUCAAGGAGGCAGACUAGGGUGGUGAGGGGGAGGUGGCACUAGGGUAGGGCCCCAGGUCUGGCAUUUGCCAGGUUAGGGAAGCAGAGCAGCUCAGAGCCCAGGGGUGGGCAGGGGCCUGUGUGCUUCUGGUUGGUAACUCACUGCAGGGAAGGCCAGUUGGGCCUGCUGGCUCGGACCUCGUCAGGAGCAAGCAAUUGGUGGGAAAGAAAUAGUCCCAGUGCUGUUUUGCCUUUAUUGCUAAGUUUGAAGUUUUGUAACUCUCUUUGGCAUUUUUUGGUCCAUUUUUCAGAAUUAGAUGCAGUUUUCCCCCUGGUUUAGCAUUUCCCUGAUGCUUUGGAUUUUGUAUGGCAGCAAUGCUGGUCAACAUGCCUGCGGAGCUAAUACCUGGGGCUUCCAGUGCUCCCCGGACUGCCUGGGCUCAAAUCCCACAGCCAUCACUCACUGGCUGGGAGACCUGGACCAACUGCGUCCACUCCCUGGGCCUGUGGCCCUCAUCUGUGGACUGGGGGUACUGUGAAGAUUAAGUGUUAAGACACUAAAGAACCCUGGGAGGGUGGGACAUGCGUAAGCACUGGCUCAGCCUCCCACUGUCGUGCCGCUUCUGCCAGACCAGUGCGCCUGCAGAUCUAACCCAGAGGCAUCAGGAGCAGAUGCAGGGGCCACAGGGCAGCAGCCACGAUGAACCACCAUCUCUUUCCACCGCUUCGUGCCUCGGGCCCCUGGCGUUUCUUUUGUCCUGCCUUCAUUGGUUGCUGUGCUCUCACAGGCCUGGAUCCAGGCUACCGAGGCUAGGAUGAGGCCUGUAACCCCACACUACCAUGUGGCAAACAGCCAGAACACCGCAAGAGACGUAAGUCAAGCCACACUGGCUGGGAGCUAAUUUUGCAUUGUUAAAAAGCAGGAUAACACAGAAAAUAGAACGGACAGGAAAGCUUUCACAUUGUGCAAAUGUGAACUGGUGAUUAGAAGGUUCAUUUCAAUCAGUUUGCUUUUGACAAUUUACUUGGAUCUGGAAGAAACAUUUUAAAUCUACAAAAUUACUGUCAAACCCAAUAGGCAGGAUUGAAAAGGAGUUAGAAAUUAUAAACAAAUAAACCAACAAAGUCGGGGGUAACAACCCCAACCAAAGAUAUCAGAAACUGGAUGAAGAUGGCUUAAAGGCACAUUAAAAAAAAAUCCAAAAAAA
rnacentral:lncRNA from 1 species